GGUGGUUCUCGGGUGACGCACCCCAGAAUCGGGCUCCCUCCUCUCUAGUUCCGGGUGCGUCACCCAAGAACUACA
rfam:Myotis brandtii contig255720, whole genome shotgun sequence.